AGUGAGCGCUGGCGGUAGGCCUAACACAUGCAAGUCGAACGGCAGCACAGUAAGAGCUUGCUCUUACGGGUGGCGAGUGGCGGACGGGUGAGGAAUACAUCGGAAUCUACUUUUUCGUGGGGGAUAACGUAGGGAAACUUACGCUAAUACCGCAUACGACCUACGGGUGAAAGCAGGGGAUCUUCGGACCUUGCGCGAUUGAAUGAGCCGAUGUCGGAUUAGCUAGUUGGCGGGGUAAAGGCCCACCAAGGCGACGAUCCGUAGCUGGUCUGAGAGGAUGAUCAGCAACACUGGAACUGAGACACGGUCCAGACUCCUACGGGAGGCAGCAGUGGGGAAUAUUGGACAAUGGGCGCAAGCCUGAUCCAGCCAUACCGCGUGGGUGAAGAAGGCCUUCGGGUUGUAAAGCACUUUUGUUGGGAAAGAAAAGCAGCAGGUUAAUACCCCGCUGUUCUGACGGUACCCAAAGAAUAAGCACCGGCUAACUUCGUG
rnacentral:rRNA from 1 species